rnacentral:pre_miRNA from 1 species
UUCUCUGUCAGAGUGAGGUAGUAGAUUGUAUAGUUGUAGGGUAGUUAUUUUACCCUGUUCAGGAGAUAACUAUACAAUCUAUUGCCUUCCCUGCGGAGUAAA